rnacentral:rRNA from 1 species
UAAUCCGAAGGGGGCGAGCGUUGUUCGGAUUUACUGGGCGUAAAGGGCGCGUAGGCGGCCCUGUUUGUCGCGUGUGAAAGCCCCGGGCUCAACCUGGGAACGGCGCGCGAUACGGCGGGGCUAGAGAUCGGGAGAGGAGCGUGGAAUUCCCAGUGUAGAGGUGAAAUUCGUAGAUAUUGGGAAGAACACCGGUGGCGAAGGCGGCGCUCUGGACCGAGACUGACGCUGAGGCGCGAAAGCGUGGGGAGCAAACAGGAUUAGAUACCCUGGUAGUCCACNCUGUAAACGAUGUGUGCUAGACGUUGGGGAGCCUAGCUCUUCGGUGUCGCAGCUAACGCGGUAAGCACACCGCCUGGGGAGUACGGCCGCAAGAUU